rnacentral:rRNA from 1 species
CGACCGGCGCACGGGUGAGUAACGCGUAUCCAACCUGCCCACCACUUGGGGAUAACCUUGCGAAAGUAAGACUAAUACCCAAUGAUAUCUCUAGAAGACAUCUGAAAGAGAUUAAAGAUUUAUCGGUGAUGGAUGGGGAUGCGUCUGAUUAGCUUGUUGGCGGGGUAACGGCCCACCAAGGCAACGAUCAGUAGGGGUUCUGAGAGGAAGGUCCCCCACAUUGGACUGAGACACGGUCCAA